rnacentral:rRNA from 1 species
UACGAAGGGGGCUAGCGUUGCUCGGAAUCACUGGGCGUAAAGCGCACGUAGGCGGCUUUUUAAGUCAGGGGUGAAAUCCUGGAGCUCAACUCCAGAACUGCCUUUGAUACUGGAAGUCUUGAGACCGGAAGAGGUAAGUGGAACUGCGAGUGUAGAGGUGAAAUUCGUAGAUAUUCGCAAGAACACCAGUGGCGAAGGCGGCUUACUGGUCCGGUUCUGACGCUGAGGCACGAAAGCGUGGGGAGCAAACAGG